GUCGAUUUAUCGCUCAGUGACACGCUAACGUACUCAUUAGUUAACUGAUUUUGACCAGCUAGUCAUGGAUAUGUUCAAGUUCAAGUUGAAGAAUGACCAUUGAACUUGAAUGAAUAAUUUCACCUUUUAAUAAAUCCUUUUUCGGGCUCUGGAGAGCUGUCCUGAGAGGUAUUAAUUCGAGAUACUCGCAAUAAAAUCCUUUCCAAAUUGUACGUUCAUUCCCUAUAAGCAAAUCAUGUCCGCUGCGUAAAUGUAAAGUAAGCGUUAAUUUGUUAAAAAAUUAAAGUCAUCUUGUAAGAAUAAAUAUAUUCAUGUUGAAAUUGUUACGAGUUGAAAUAAACUGUCGUAGAACUGCCGGACUUGAAGGCUGCUGGUCAACGUCAAACGUGUCACAUUAAAAAAAAACUUACCGCGAACAAAGACACCGCCGUGGGAUUUUUUAACGAAGAACGACAUCAGCUUAAUAUCGCUCACUCCUUGGAAAAUAUGGCGAAAAUCGAAGCCCCCAAAAUAUCCAGGCUCCUCCUAGCCUCAAAAUUCGACUGUACCAAAUUUGACAAAUUCUUAGGUUGUGGUUCAUUUGGCCUCGUCCUCCAAACCAAAGACACCAUUCCAACCGCUGUUAAACUCAUUCUCGAAGACCCGGCGGAUGAUGUCAUCAUUAAAAACAUUACUCGUGAAUAUGACUGCAUAGAAGCCACCCAGACCAACUCUUACCAUCCAAACAUAGUAAAAACAUUAAAAUAUGAGCAAGGAUGCGUCCUAACUUAUCCAGAUUUUGAGCGACUAAGAAACUUACCUAAAUCCGAAAAUUAUCCCGUCCUCCAAGAUUGGCUGGACCUUUCGUUACGAAGAGAACGGCGUAAAACGGCACCUUUAUCAUUUUUUAUUAUGGAAAUGGAGCUUUGUGGGAACAAUUUACGGUCCUGGAUUGAAGAAAAGUCGUCCCCUACACAAAUGGUACCCUACACCACUGCCAACACUCAAUUUUGGAUUCUGCACGAUAUCAUUCAAGGUUUGAAAUUUCUCCACGGCAUUAAAAUUAUUCAUCGCGAUUUACGUCCUGAAAAUGUCAUGUUUUCCGGAAAUGGAUACGAAUUUCCCGUCAAGCUAGGAGAUUUCGGGCUAGCUCGGAAAGUUCAUUCCCAGGGCAGUAAAUCCAGUAGUUUCACGACUCACCCAGGGAGCACGCUGUACAACGCGCCGGAAACAUGUACAUCAAACUACGGCCUGCAAGCCGACCUUUACUCGCUGGGUCUUGUAAUAUUGGAAGUUGUCAGCUUAAAAGUGGACAACGAACGGAACAGGCUGUUUAACAUGGUUAAGGAAAAAGAGAGCUUCGAUGUUCCAGAUCGUCACAUGAUUUUUACCGAUUUGGCUAAAUUGAUCACUUCAUUGACAAACCAGGAUCUCGCGUAUCGUACCAAAACCAUUGAUGAAGUUAACAUUAUGAAGAAAAGAUGCGUGAUACACGAAUGUAUCGAGAGAUUCAUAGGACGAGGCAGAUUCGCGUAUGUUUUUCAAAUACGCAUCCAGUCAGAGGAGCUUGUGGCAAAAAUGUUCUUCCAAAACCCAAAGGAAAAUGACAAAUGGUAUGAAAAGUUGGAAGCGCACUGUAACAAUUUGAAGGAUAAACGACACCUAAACAUUGUCCAGAUUAAGAGCGCCACACACGUGCCCUAUUUUUAUAAGGAACUCGGCGAAAUUGCAAAACUGCUGGCAAAUUCGGGUCAUGACAAACUCGCUGAGGAAAUCAGACUUCUGAAAAUUUAUUCCAAGCCAUUUAUCUAUGCAUCAGUAUUCGUAAUACAGAUGGAGUUGGUUGGUCCAAGAUUGCGCGAUUGGUUAAAUGCCAAUUCUGGUGGAUCCACGGAGCUUCUAGCUCAAAACCAAAUGCAAAUAGUUCAGGAUGUUCUCGAGGGUCUAAAGUUUUUGCAUUCUCUGCGAAUAAUUCAUGGCAGUCUGAAGCCGGAAAGUAUCAUGUUUUCCCACUCGACUACAAAUGUGUUUGAAUUUCCGGUCAAAAUUAAGCAUACAGGGACACCAAGUGAAGAAGUUCAAGCCAGUCAGCGAUACGUCGCACCAGAAAUUACAGAGGCUCUACCUGGUGGCACAUUCUGCGCAGAUGUGUUUUCACUUGGUAUAAUUAUCCUGGAAACGAUCACCUUAGAGAAAGAUGCAUCUCUGUCAAAAUCAGACCUAGAAUCCCUCACGUUUCCCCCACUUCUUUCAAUAGGACAGCUGAUAGCCUGCAUGACAAGCUCGCAGCCUGACGAGAGGCCACAAAUUGGACGUAUUCCAAUCUCAAAACAACGCACGAUCGCUUUCAUCAAUGAAAAAAGUAGUAACAUCAAUCAAUUCUCUGCGGCCAGUAGUACUGAUGUCAUUAGAAUAUUGUCAACUUUGCGCGGCCCCGACAAGAUCACCAUCAUUCUUGAUAGCAAUUCCUAUCAAGAAAUUGUCAUAGACACAAGCAACGUCGAGCUACGGGGAGAAGGAGGAGUGGUUGUGGAUGGAAUCAAAAUUACUCACAAAGCUUGCGACGUUAUAAUAAAGAAUUUAACCAUUCAAUUCGAUCACCAAGUUUUAAUUGAUACCGGUUGCAAUCGAAAUGUCCUCGAGGAGAUCCGGUUUCUUGGUAGUAAGCAACUUUCAUGUACUUGUGACGUAAGAGGAGAUCGGAAUCUGCUACACCACGUGGAAUUUGAUUGUGUCGAAAAAACCGCGAUUUCAACGUCUGGAAACGACAAAUGUGUUUACAAAUGUGCAAAUUAAUCAAGCCAAAUUUGCCGGGGUUCAUGUGAACGGGGUGAGAACGAGAUUAGAAGAUGUAACGUGCAAAAAUGUGGUAAAAUAUGGAAUCGCUAUAUUCACGGUUUAUAAUCUGGACGACAAACUUAGAAUGGGUGGAGUGGACUUGACCCCGCGGCACGUGGGGGAGGUCACAUUGACAAAUUGCGUAAUGGUUUCUAACGAGAAAAUGCCCAAAAUGGAAUCGACAUGUUACGACGUUGGAAAAAUUGAUGUGUGUCCUUGCGGGCUUGCAGUACUGACGACCGGGUAUGAGGGGGUGGUUGCCAUAAAUUGUGACUUCGCUGGGGUCCUAGUCCGCCACGGUAACUCGGUUCGGAUGGUGAAGGUAAACACGGGAAAAAUUGUGUUGCUUCAGGGGAAUGGAAACAAAUUUGAAAACUGCAAAGGUGACGUGGUCUACGACGAGAUGGGAACUGCGGAAUUGGUGGAUUGUGAAUUUGGUGAAAUUAUCAAGGGUCCUGUUCCAGAAGGGAAUGUCUCGAUUGCAACGUAUAAGACGGCGUAUUAAUGAAACCGAAAUUUGCAUUGACUUUCACAAGUGUUUUUUAAGUCAUGGUGUGCGUAAUAUUUGCGUUACCGACAUUGGUUUACUGACGCAUUAUUUACCGACUAAUUAUUUACCUUGACUUACCCAGUCCUCACAAUAUUCCUAUAAUGGUCUGCGCAUUUAAACCAGAGGAAAUUCUUGCUCGGCUAGUAAAGUUUACAAUUCAAAUAUUUAUGGACCGAUUUUAAAAAUUUAAUAAAUUUUUUAACGUUAUGGGUUUACAAAACUUUUUAUAAUAAUAUAUUUUUAAAUUCUUCCUACAGACCCAGAAAGACAUGAACCCAGUAAAACGGGAGUAUUUGAUCAGAUAGGCUGUAAAAACCGGGUUUAGUAAAAUAUAAGUUGAAUAUGGAGGUAAAUACAAAGUUUUACUCUUGGGUUUUACAGUAGUGAGAAAUGUGUUAAAUGUUCGAUGUUAAACUCCAGUUUUAAUGAAUCAAAACGACUAAAGUAAUACACUCACGGAGAAACAAAUAUAUUACAUACAUUAAACUCUGAGACAGGCUCCCAAUAUUCUUCUCCGUAUUCAUACAGUAAAACGUCCGUAAAAGACUGGUAAAAUACAGGGGACGCAACUCUGGUUGGCCGUUAUUUUCCCUCAUUUCACACUUCUUCCGCACUCAUAUUAGUUAACGAUCCUCCAUCAAUAUUCUCUUCAUUUAACU